rnacentral:rRNA from 1 species
GUGGGGAAUAUUCCGCAAUGGACGAAAGUCUGACGGAGCAACGCCGCGUGAGUGAUGAAGGUUUUCGGACUGUAAAGCUCUGUUGUUUAGGACGAAAGUGCCUGUUGCAAACAGUUACAGGUAUUGACGGUACUAAACGAGGAAGCCACGGCUAACUACGUGCCAGCAGCCGCGGUAAUACGUAGGUGGCAAGCGUUGUCCGGACUUAUUGGGCGUAAAGAGCAUGUAGGCGGGAAUCUAAGUCUGUUGUGCAAAUGCGGGGCUCAACCCCGUAUUGCGAUGGAAACUGGGUUUCUUGAGUGCAGGAGAGGAAAGGGGAAUUCCCAGUGUAGCGGUGAAAUGCGUAGAUAUUGGGAGGAACACCAGUGGCGAAGGCGCCUUUCUGGACUGUGUCUGACGCUGAGAUGCGAAAGCCAGGGUAGCGAACGGGAUUAGAAACCCUUGUAGUCC